rnacentral:rRNA from 1 species
AGUGAACGCUGGCGGCGUGCUUAACACAUGCAAGUCGAACGAGAACGGAAUAUAGCUUGCUAUAUUUGUCAGCUAAGUGGCGCACGGGUGUGUAAUGUAUAGAUAACCUGCCCUUAAGAAAGGAAUAACAGUUGGAAACGACUGCUAAUGCCCUAUAUGCCUUUAAUACAUAAGUAUGCAAGGGAAACGCUUUAGUGCUUAAGGAUGGGUCUGUAUGGUAUCAGCUUGUUGGUGAGGUAAUGGCUCACCAAGGCUAUGACGCCUAACUGGUUUGAGAGGAUGAUCAGUCACACUGGAACUGAGGCACGGUCCAGACUCCUACGGGAGGCAGCAGUGGGGAAUAUUGCACAAUGGGCGAAAGUCUGAUGCAGCAACGCCGCGUGGAGGAUGACACAUUUCGGUGCGUAAACUCCUUUUAUAUAGGAAGAUAAUGACGGUACUAUAUGAAUAAGCACCGGCUAACUCCGUGCCAGCCGCCGCCGUAA